AGUUAGAACCUCUGAGUCAGAACCCUUCCGUUGCUGCGUUAGACAAAUACAAAUUGGUGGCAAAAAUUUGACAAAUGAUGUUUUUAUUAUUUACUUUGAUGUCAUGAAUCUUGUGUAGACUGAAUAAUAUUGACGUAGAAGUUAAUUCCACGACACUGUGUACAGUGGCAUUGAAAACGAGCCACAAGUCGGAGGAAGCAACGAGCAAAGCAAUCAUGACGUUUCAAUCAGGCCAAGGAAAGCGGUGAAUCAUUCCGGACCGCCUGGUCCACGAAACAAACACAAAAGAGGGUAUCGAGGGAUCUCGAGUUGCAUCGGAAGAUAUCAGAAGGAGGCCAAAAGAGGAUUCGCAUUUUCCAUUGUGUCGAGAACAUAGUAGUACGCGUUCUCGUCGGCUCGUAUAUCCACGAGGAGAGUUAUCGAGAUGUUUAUCCACUUAUAAAGGCUGCUAUCCGAAUAUUUAUUCGUUCCCUGCAUAGUCUCGUUCAAUUCUGAUGCAUAUCGACACUUUUCUUUAUUGACCUUACAAAAUGUAUUACAGAAUAAAAAGGUUAGAUCCCUAACCUAACCUAAAAAAGAAAUAAUUAUUUCAUCGCCCUCCGUUGAAUCAUCCUCCAGAGACGAACGAGUGCUUGCUUUUCCUGACACGUACCGCCCCUGGAAUAAUUACCAUCAAUCCGGCACGCAGCCAGAAUGCUCAAAAACACCUUCCAAGAAUCUAGCGUCGCUAUUUUCACCGCAAGGAGGACAGAAGUCAACAGCUCCGCGUAAAAUUAACACGUCCAGCCAGCGUGCAAUUACCCACCCCCCUGGUACAUCCCUCUGCUGUCUCUUCCUCGUGAAAGAAUCGAGGGACCCUCCGUGCCGCCAUUGGUCUUCUUAACCUCUAUUCAACGGGAUCCAUUGAAUGAUGCUUCGACGUCACGCCACAUCGUCUGCCUCGUGGAUUAUUGAUGACAAAACGAUCCGGAUUCCAUUCAGUCGAACUUUCGACUUGCCCUUGAUGAUCACCGCGAGAACUUCGUAAUUAUUGCUGAAGAGGAUUUGUCGACCGAUCGUUCGAGGAAUUUUUAACCCGUUGGUUACACUCUGAUCAAUUCGAUAAGUUGGAGGUGAGAGGAGGCUUGAACGGGAGCUUUGGUCCAAAAACUUUAGAGGUUCGUGGGUACAUAAGGGGUGUCUC